rnacentral:misc_RNA from 1 species
GGCUUUAGCUGCUAGGUUGCUGCAUUGUUGGCUCACCUAAUGUGGUCACAACAACCAUUGUUUUUUUUUUCCUUGUGGCUUUAGCCACUAGGCUAGUCCAACUUCAUAGAUGUGGGUGGACACAUAUUCCAUGUCAUAUCUCAUGUCGUGUCAUGUCAACACGAUUAUAGCAUUGUAAAGUGGCAAGUUUGGGUAUCAGAGAGUUUGAGCAUACCCUUUGGCAACAAGGUGGGAUUUUAGAUGAGUUAUAAAACCAUCUUGAUUAACCUUCAUUGAAAAACCCCAACAACUUUCUUUUUUGUAGGUGAAGACACCAAAUUCCAAGUCCUAUUAGUAUCCAUAGCUACCAUUUCCUCUUCCAUACCAUUAUCAUCCAAAGCAACAAUUGGAACAAAGAACUUUUUACUUUCCUUUGCAUUCCUAGAAACAUUUGAAUGUAGAAAAUCAAUCACAACUUUAAUCGAAAGACUCUUCAAUUUAAUAAGAACAUGGAAAUUUGAAAAAUCUUCAAUUUUAAGUUGUUUUGGCUUACAUUUCCUGUUGUCAAACUAAAACCAUAGAAAUCAUCCCUUUAAAAUUUUAAUUCAAAUCAUGAUUCAAUUUCUUAAGGCUUCCUUUGGAUAGAGAAAAAUUUUAUAUAUAAGAUUUAUUUGAUGUUUUUAGUACAAAUUAUGUCAUUUGAUUGUUACAUUUAUAACAAAAUAUAAAAAUUUGUGGUUAAUCCAAGUGUUAGAAUGUGCAAUUGCAAUCAUGAUACUUCUAUCUCUCUCAA